rnacentral:rRNA from 1 species
UUAAUUUUUAUUUAUUAAUUUUUUUUUGUUUAAAAUUUAAAUAUUAGAAAUAACUAUAAAAUUUAAAGUUUUAGUAUUGUUUAAAGAAAAAAUAAUUUUAAUAAUAGUUUAAUAGUAUUGUAAAAGAAAAUUGAAAUAAUUUGAAAAAUUUUUAUUUUAAAAGAAAAUUUAAUUUAUUGUACCUUGUGUAUCAGCGUUUAUUAAAUAAAAAAUAUAAAUAUAUUUUUCUCGAUUUUAAAAGAGUUAAUAUAAUAUGUAAGUUAAUGUAAUAAAAUUAUUUAUAAUAUUAUAUUAGAAAUGAAAUGUUAUUCGUUUUUAAUGGUAUCUAGUUUUCUAAGAAAUGAAUUUAAUUCAGAAUUUAUAAAUUUAUUAAUUUUUUUUAUUUAAAUUAAUAAUUUAUAAUUUUAAUAUUUUAUGGGAUAAGCUAUAAAAUAAAUUUUUAAAAAUAAUAAAUAAAUUUAAUAAAUAUAUGCUUAGAAUUAGCAAUUAUUAAAAAAUGUGUUAUAAUUUAUUUUAUAAAUUAAAUUAUUUAUUAUAUUUUAAUUAUUUAUUAGAAUAUUAAUUUUAAUCUUUAAAAUUAAGAAAUAAUGAUAAAAUUAGUAUAUUUUUAUGUUAAAAUAAAUUUUAAUGAAAAGUUUAAGUAAAGAAUUCGGCAAAAAUAAUGUUCGCCUGUUUAACAAAAACAUGUCUUUUUGAAUUAAAUUUAAAGUCUAACCUGCCCACUGAAAUUUUAAAUGGCCGCAGUAUUUUGACUGUGCAAAGGUAGCAUAAUCAUUAGUCUUUUAAUUGAAGGCUGGAAUGAAUGGUUGGACGAAAUAUUAACUGUUUCAUUUAAAUUUUUUAUAGAAUUUUAUUUUUUAGUCAAAAAGCUAAAAUAAUUUUAAAAGACGAGAAGACCCUAUAAAUCUUUAUAUUUUUUUUAUUUUAAUUGUUAAGAUUAAUUUUAUUUUAAUAAAUAAAAAUAUUUUAUUGGGGUGAUAUUAAAAUUUAAAAAAC